ACGGAGUUUAGCCAUGUUACCCAGGCUGGUCGUUAACUCCUGGCCCCAAGUGACCUUUUUGCCUUGGCCUCUCAAAGUGCUGGGAUUACACGUGUCAGCCACCAUGCUUGGCCAACUAUUUCCGAUUCUAGGUAACCUAAGCUGUGGAAAAAGAGACCAUCUGGAAAGAAUGCUGCGGUUUCACAGAGCCAACAUUAUUCUCUACCUCCCCUUCCUCUUCCUCUUUCUUUAUGGAUGGCAAACAGUGUUCAGAUGACAGAUUUUGGAAAAUUGUCUUAGGAGACGCAUUCUCAGGCAGUUCCAGCGUAUUGGUAUUUUGGAUGUUUCUCUGCAUUUUGUCAUACGGUUCAGAAGGGUGAUAGGCUUUCUGUGAACUGCUGGGCUUCAAGAAGGCUAUUAUCUUCCACUCAGGUUUAAUUGAGGAAUUUAUGGGAUUUUGCCACUUUGUGAGUUAUUCCCAAUAUUCCCUUCAUCUAAUGAAGUUCCUCCACAUUUCAUGAUCCUUGUGACAAUCCACCCCAGACUAUGGUGAGAGACCCAGAGCUGCAGCAGUUUUGGUUGUGGUUAUUCUGACAUUGACCCUAAGGGAGCAAGGAUGUUUCUCAGGAGAGGAUAGUUUCUGCAAAGCAGCUGGAGAAGAUGCAACUGAGAAGCUAGAGGGAAAUUGAAGAGAAUGAUGUCACAGAAGCCCAGAGAAGGAGUGGUGAAGCCAGGUAACUGCUGAUGGCAUAGAAUGCAUCUAACAGUUCACAUGAACUCUAAACUUGUUCAUGGGAUUUAAUGACUUCUGUGAUGAAGACUCAACUUCUUAGCAUGACAUACAGGACCUUGCUAAGGAAACUUUUAAGGUUUUAUUGCUGUUUUUAACCUUCUAAUAUUUUUCACUAAAAAUAAAAUAGGAAUUAUAAAAAGGUAUUAAUUUUAUAAAGCAUAAUACCUUGC